rnacentral:sRNA from 1 species
UCAGAAAAAUUCCUACAUAUAAUGUAUAUAUAUAAUUGAUAUAUUUAUACAAUUAUUAAUUUAUGAUAUUGAUGGGACCAUAUAUUUACAUAGAACUUUCAAAAAAGUUAUUAUCUUAUUAAUUUAUCGAUUUGUGUCACUUUUUACACUGGUACAAAUUCGGGAUUGGAAAAAUUUAUUAAUUUAUAAAGGUUAUUAAUUUAUCGACUAUUAAUUUAUAGAAGUUUAACUGUAUGUUAUAAAUAUCAUCAUAUACUGUACUUUGGUCACUCUUUCUAUUAACUUCUUCUUUUUUUUUAAAAGAAUUUGGAAUUAUGUCGUAGU